GACGAACGCUGGCGGCGUGCCUAACACAUGCAAGUCAACUUGACUGAAGGAGCAAUCUGACAGUAGAGUGGCGCAAGGGUGCGUAACGCGUAAGUAACUUGCCCAAGGUAAGGAAUAACGUCGAGAAAUCGGCGCUAAUACCUCAUAAUGCAGCGGAUCCGCAUGGAUAUGUUGUUAAAGGUUUACCGCCUUGGGAUAGGCUUGCGUCUGAUUAGCUAGUUGGUGUGGUAAACGGCACACCAAGGCUACGAUCAGUAACUGGUCUGAGAGGAUGAUCAGUCACACUGGAACUGAGACACGGUCCAGACUCCUACGGGAGGCAGCAGUGAGGAAUAUUGGGCAAUGCUCGAAAGAGUGACCCAGCAACGCCGCGUGGAGGAUGAAGGUAUUCUAUAUCGUAAACUCCUAGUGAGAGCAGACGAAAGACAGAUUAUUAAUACUGGAUGACUGUAUGCUCAGAGGAAGCCCCGGCUAACUACG
rnacentral:rRNA from 1 species